rnacentral:tRNA from 1 species
AAAAUUCUAGCUUAAUUAAAGCAUCUGAGUUGCAAUCAGGAGAUGCAGGGUAAUGUCCUGCGAAUUUUA